ensembl:lncRNA
GAUUUGCUGUUUACAUGUAAAAUCCUCACAGUGGGUUUUUGAGCCAUCUACCUAACAGCUGAUGCACUCAUCUAGGUUAACCUUAUGCUUCCAUCUGUGUCACAGAACUCAGAGGAUGGAAAGUGGAUUGCAAAUAGCAGGUGAGCCCUCUUUGAAGAAUUGUGGGAACGCUGCAACGCCCCAAGUGUUUGCAACACGCUUCUGAGCUACAUAUCAACUAAAAAAUGUGUAGAAGAGAUAAGAGUUUAAG